GCCUUCGUGGUGUAAUGGGCAGCACACUUGACGCUUAACCCAGAGGCCCGUGGUUCGAUUCCCGGCGAAGGUA
rnacentral:tRNA from 1 species